rnacentral:tRNA from 1 species
AUUAUUAUAUCAUAAAAGUGAAUUAAUUUUAGAAAUUAAGAGUAUAUAUUUAUAAAUAUAUUAAUAAUU